GGGAGGGUGUGUUGCCCCCAUGACAGGUGCUUAGGAGAGAACAACAGCUACAGAGGCAGCAGCAGCAGUAGCAGUGGUAGUGAUCUGAAGAAAAGAAAAGAAAAGAAAAUGACUAGAUGUGGAAGCUGUGGUAUCAUAGCAUCUGUCAUGUUGAUUACAGCACUUUGUCAUCGAAGGGAUACCAAUGUCAAACUGUAAAGGAAAAAAGUUUAAACUGACUGGAACAAAGAAGAUAAAUCUAUGAAAGCUUAACCUCCACAGCGAGCUCGAGAUUCAUCCUCUCCUGCAAGGCAGUCCACUUCCCUGUUACAGAGGUACUUAUUUGGAAUACACACAUCGGAGUUACAAUGGAAACUGUUGUUGCAUUCUGUAACGAAAAGAGAACUCAAUUUGUAUGGGAUGGGGGUCAAAUGAUUCACCAACCUCACCACUGUAGGAGACCUAAUUUAACUUAACUACAAUGCAGCCACAAUUAUGACAAAAGUAAAAUGUUCAUUAAUAUGUAAUGGAACCAGACACUGGAUACAUAAAGCAAAAUGGAUGCUAUCAAUGCUGUAGACUCCCCAUUUUCUAACUUUAAAACAGAGAUUCAACUUUUCAGGCUUUCAUCAGUUUAGUGCUGUAGUUCUCAAAUUUUUUGAGCAUGACCCAUUACCAGUUUUUUCCAGAACUUUUGCCCACACACAAACCGAGCCAAACACCAACCCACCUUUCAGUCUUGUUAGUGUUCUUGAUUAUUUCAAUGGGAAUUUAGAGUGUUCUGCAUCUCACAAGACUAGGCCCAACAUUUUCAAAAGUAGGAGCCUAAAAGCUAGUCAUCUAAGCCCAUAUUUAGGCACCUACAUGAUUUAGGCGCACAAGUUCUAUUGACUGAAAUGCUUUUGAACAUCCUACUGGGAAGUGCCUAAAUAUAGGAUUAAGAACUGAACUUUAGGCUUGUAUGGUGAAAACAUUGACCAUGGCCCUUAAUUACAGUCAGGCACUCGUAUAUUGGGUGAAACAUUCCUAUAAAUUCAGGUAUCUGACUUUUUUCUCUAUUCUCACAAAAAUGUGAUAUAUUUUGAACAGCAAAGCCAAUGCUUUGCCAGGUUUUCUUGACUUACUUUAUAUUCUCCCAUGCAAAUCUAUAUUCAGGGAUUUUUUUUUAUUUAAUGGAAAAGCUGAUGGUUCCUUAAUACCAGUAUAAGGCCUGGGGAAGACUGCAUUUGACAUCAGUAGGAUUUGGAUCAGGGCCAGACUGAUGAAAAACAGCACUAGACACAUGAACAAGCACUCCUUGGAGUAAAUCCUUUCAUGGAGUCAAGAGGUCUGUUCCUCAGGUGUUCCGUAGUUUAGCAU